CAACUUUCAACAACGGAUCUCUUGGCUCUUGCAUCGAUGAAAAACGCAGCGAAAUGCGAUAAGUAAUGUGAAUUGCAAAAUCCAGUGAAUCAUCGAAUCUUUGAACGCACCUUGCGCCCUUUGGUAUUCCGAGGGGCAUGCCUGUUUGAAAGUCA
rnacentral:rRNA from 1 species